CCUCUCUCCUCCGGAAGUGACGCAGCGCCUGGCGGCUGUGGUGGCUGAGGCGGCUGUGGCGACGGCGGCCAUGGGCAGGGAGGAGCGGGGAGGGGAGGCCGCUUAGGCCGUGCCCUCGGCCGCCGGGGAGCUUGUGGAGGACGGCGGCAGCGAGCUGGACGAGCACGGCGCCGAGGAGUGCCGGCUGCGGAUGCUGCUCGGGGUGGUUGCCUCACCUCGAGUACGGUGUGCAGUACAAAAAGGACGUUAAACUGUUGGAGAGUGACCAGAGGAGGGCGACAAAGAUGGUGAAGGACCUGGAGGGGAAGACAUACAAGGAGCAUCUGAGGGGACUGGGCCUGUUCAGCCUGGAGAAGAGGAGGUUGAAGGGAGACGUCAUCGUGGCCUACACUUUCCUCGUGAGGAGGAGUGGAGAGGAAGGCACCGAUCAAGAGAUACGUCUUGGCAGUUCUUUAUUUUUCCCCACUCGUGCCAUUUUAGAGAGAGAUCAUCUGACCAAGAUAUUUCGUGGAAAGUACUGAUCCUGAUGUCAUUCAGCAGCUUCUGCAAGACCGUGUCAUUAAGGACUGUUGCCUGAGAAAUGCUGAAGGUGAAAAAACAGAGCUCAUUACAGAGACAUCCACCAGUAAAUCAGCAGUAUGUGUGGCAAGUUUUAAAGCAAUUGAAACAAACGUUGGAGAAAUUGUUAAGUAGCUUGGAGUGAUUAUUGUGUGCUUGUUUUGUCAGCAGUCACUUUCAGUUCUGUCAGCAAUGCUCUGUGCCUCGUUAAUCAGCUCUGCUUCAAUGUUUGUGCGGGGAGCAUCUCCUAAAGAUCCCUAAGGUACUUUGGUUAAUUACACCAGCAAUGCGAUUUCUCUCAGUCCCUGAAAUUUAAACUUAAUUUAAAAUUAAUAAAUCAAUAUUUCUAUCAUUUAAUUGAUCGUUU
rnacentral:lncRNA from 1 species